rnacentral:lncRNA from 1 species
CUUUCUACAUAUCUACACUAUUUCCUACUAACUCUGGGUUUGUUUCAAAUACAUCCUUCUUUAUUCUUGAUGACUCCUUAGGUCUGUUCCCUGUCUAUUCUGUUAGCCGAACCUUUUAAUCCUCACUUCAUUCAACCAUUCAACCCCUUUUCUUGCCGAUAGCAUAUUAUAGUACUCGAGGAGAGCUGGCAAGGAUCUUAGCCUUGGUAGGUAUGUUAUGUUCAUAACUCGCCUUUUUCUUUAUCAUCUAAUUGCUUGUGGGCUAUGGCUCAAGUUUUUUAGGCUUUUAGAAAUUGAUUAGGAUGUCUUUAACAAUUUUUUACCCUCUAAUCCCGAUUUUUAAUUUAUUGUGGAGAUAAGAUAUGUUCAUUAUACCUUUCAUGAUUCGUUUAGAAAUAACCAAUUCAUAAAGUGGUUGUAGUAUUGCAAGAGGGACUAUGGCGAAUCCAGAUGUUUAUUAGGUGUAUUGGGAUUUGUGAUGAAUGUAGAGGACAAUCAUCUUUUUUAUUUGUCUAAAAUCCUUGGAAUUCAUUCAUUUCUAGUUAUGGCUUGCUUUGAUUUUGGUGUAUUUCAUGUAACAAACAUAUAUAUACAGAAUGGGCAUUUUCUUUCUUCUUUUGUGGCUUUAGUUACAGAGGCCUUUCCUUACUACUCCCCUAAGCUUCAUGGUAUUGGAUUACAAAUUUGUUUGCUCUUCUAGGAGGAGCAUUCUGAAGAUACAAGCUGAUUAGAAAACCCCUCAUACAGGUAAACAUCAAAUUAAAUUUUGAUGCAUGGCAGUUAAGGUAGGUAACUUGGGACAGCGACUAAAAAAAAGGUUUGAGACAUUGUAGGAGGGCUUGGCUAAUUCUUUGGGACUAUUCAACCUCUUGGUUGAAGGUGAUUUUGCUGCAACCAUCUUGGGUGUCUAAGCAAGAAAUAAGGUCAGUGAAAAAAGAACCUUUGAUCACAUCAAAUUGAAGAUUUAGUCAUAGUUAUGGGGUGUCUUAUUCUACGCUAAGCUAAAUAGUUAGUGGACAUGACUCUAAGCAAGUUUGGAGCUUGGAGCUUUAUCGUAAACCAUUUUGUGGGAGAGUUUUUAUUCCCCCAAUUGUAUCUAAGGAUUCAAAUGGAAUGGGUUCAGUCCAUUCCUCAAGUGGGUUGAGUUGGGCUUUGAUUGGGUGGGAUAAUAUCUAAAUUCUCACACUCACCUGACCUUAUCGGUCCUACCCAUCUUAUUUAGAAAUUUUCAAUUAUUUUAAUACAAAUAAAUUAAUUGUAUUUAAUAUUUUUGUAUAAAAAAUAACUUAUAUUUUUAUUUCAAAUAUGUUUAAAAAGAAAAAUUUAAGUUAAAUUCAAUCUUAUGCUUGGUUUAGAAAUGUUGAAUUAUAUAGAACAUAUAUAUAAUUUAUAAAUAAAUUAUCAUAAAUUUUUAUCUUAUUUUUUAUGAAAAGUAAAAAAUUUGUUUCUUCAAAAAAAAAAUAAAAAAAAAUUUAGAUUUUGUUUUGUUUCAUUUUAUAUAUACAUAUAGUAGAACGAUAUAGGUGAAGUGGUAUAAUAUCCAACAUUGGCUUAGACAGUAAAAUCAAAUUUCAAACCUCGGGAUUAGGUUACACUUUAUCAUUGUCAUCAAUAUUUUGUCAAAUUUCAAACUCACCUCAUUGUCAUCAAUAUAUCUUUUCUACUAUUUUGUUAUUUUUUCCUUACAGUUCCUUGUAUAAUUUCUUUACUCUUUGAUUAGAUUAUUUAUUUAUUUUAUAAAUACUAGUUUACACAAUUCAAUGAUAAGACUGGUUUGUUUUGAUUUAAAAAAUAUAUAUUAUCAAAGCUAUCAAGACUUAUACCUUAAGGCUUACAAUAAAACAAAACUUUGUAAAUUAGGCUUGAGAUUAUAACUUCGGUUAGGAUAAUUGAAGCUUCACCACAUUGAGACUUUAGUCUUGAUUUAAUAACCCAAAGAUAGUUGAGGUUUAAGCUUCAAACAUUGAAAGGAUUUUAAUGGGUUUUGGGCUAUUAUGAGCUUUAAGUGUAUAUUUCAUAUGUAGGAGGCUUGAGUUUCGAUAUUCAAUGAGUUUUAAUAGAUUUUAUGUUUUUGUGGAGUUUCGUUAUAGGUUUUAUAAGUUUAUCACAUUUGGACAAAAUGUCUCCAGACUGCUAUUAAUAUUCUGUGAUGUAGGUGGAACUUUGAAUUGUAGUUGGUAUAAUAAAGACUGCUAUUGGUAUUCCGUGAUGUAGGUGGAAGUCUGAAAUGUAGUUGGUAUAAUAGGAUAAACAGGGGAGAUAGUAUUAUUGGUUUGAGAAGGUGGAGCAGUGACUUAGAAUCUUUUCCUCAUUAUUGUUGAAGGUGCAAGGCUCCAUUACUUGUCCUUUUCAGGCUGAACUAGUUUCAAUUUCUCUACAUUUCGAUCACUCACUCAGGUCAUCUACCCAAUCAACAUUCAUGAAACUUUCUAAAUCCUAUUUUAUUAAGUAAGGUCCAGGGAUCUCCAAGUUCUGUAGCUUCCAAAGGGUCCAGUGACCCACCAACAAGAAAGAGUGAAAGUCAUGAAUUAAGGGUUUUGUAUAGAAUAUAGGCAUCUAGAAAGAGGCUUAUUGCACCAUAUAAAAGAGGUAAAACGGGUUAGAGCUCGCAAGGAUUACAGAAAAGUACCGACGCACGAACCACAAUUGUGUAUAAUAUUGUCAAACAAGAGAAAAAAAACAGCAAAUGGAGGUAAAGAUAUUCUUGUUUCAAUUUUCCAGGAAAAUUGACAAAAGAGGCAUUAGCGUUGUCAGAGUUACAUGCUCUGCUAUGAGUUGACAAAAAACCAUUAGAAAACAGAGAUAAAAUUGUGAAUCAGCCACUCAAACCCCAUUCAGUUAGAAAUUUUCAAAUUUUCAUUUCCUUUUGCAUGCUAUCUUGACAACCAAGAAAGCAUUUUCCAAGUUUUUCAGUCUCAGGCAUCUCUAAAAAUACAUGGUUUCAGAGUUAAAACUCCAAUACCUUUGUUGAUCUGAUUUGCUUCAAUGACUUGUCCAGCUGAUGCUCAAGCUGCUCAAGCUCCUUUGUACCCAAAUGCCCCAAAUCUUCCCCCAGAAAAUUUCUACAUAUUUCCAAGUUGAAAUGUUUUUAUGAUAAUGUCUAUAUAAGCAAGAUGAAUGAUUACUUUUUUUUUUUUUUCAAUUCACAAUGUUGCAGUGCAAGCGAUACACCAUGGUGGCUUUACCUCUGAGUUCGUUGCAGGAC